rnacentral:rRNA from 1 species
GACGAACGCUGGCUGCGUGCUUAACACAUGCAAGUCGAACGCUGAAGCCGGGUGCUUGCACCCGGUGGAUGAGUGGCGAACGGGUGAGUAACACGUGAGUAACCUACCCCUGAUUUCGGGAUAAGCCCGGGAAACUGGGUCUAAUACCGGAUAUGACCAAUCCUUGCAUGAGGGUUGGUGGAAAGUUUUUUCGAUCAGGGAUGGGCUCGCGGCCUAUCAGCUUGUUGGUGGGGUAAUGGCCUACCAAGGCGACGACCGGUAGCCGGCCUGAGAGGGCGACCGGCCACACUGGGACUGAGACACGGCCCAGACUCCUACGGGAGGCAGCAGUGGGGAAUAUUGCACAAUGGGGGAAACCCUGAUGCAGCGACGCAGCGUGCGGGAUGACGGCCUUCGGGUUGUAAACCGCUUUCAGCAGGGAAGAAGCGCAAGUGACGGUACCUGCAGAAGAAGUACCGGCUAACUACGUGCCAGCCGCCGCCGUAA